GAUGAACGCUAGCUACAGGCUUAACACAUGCAAGUCGAGGGGAAACGUUUUCGCAAUCUUGCUUUUUAUGGGCGUCUACCGGCUCACGGUUCUGUAUCUCGUAUCCUACUUGCCCAUCACUUUGUCAUUUCCUUCCUAAAGUAAUAUUACUAUCCCAUGAUAUUCCACUUAGGCCUCGGACUGGGAUUGAAGAUUUUUCGUUGUUUUAUGGGGUUGCGUCUGAUUAGCUUGUUGGCGGGGUAACGGCCUACCAAGGCAACGAUAAGUAGGGGUUCUGAGAGGAAGGUCCCCCACAUUGGAACGGAGACACGGACCAAACGCCGACGGGAGGCAGCAGUGAGGAAGAUUGGGCAAUGGGCGAAAGACUGAACCAGCCAAGUAGCGUGCAGGAAGACGGCCCUAGGGGUGGUAAACUGCUUUUAUAAGGGAAUAAAGUGGGUCACGUGUGACUUGUUGCAGGUACCUGAUGAAUAAGGACCGGCUAAUUCCGUG
rnacentral:rRNA from 1 species